rnacentral:rRNA from 1 species
UGGGGGAUAUUGCACAAUGGGCGAAAGCCUGAUGCAGCGACGCCGCGUGGGGGAUGAAGGCUUUCGGGUUGUAAACCUCUUUCGCUAUCGAACAAGGCCCGCUUAGGGUGGGUUGAGGGUAGGUGGAGAAGAAGCGCCGGCUAACUACGUGCCAGCAGCCGCGGUAAUACGUAGGGCGCGAGCGCUGUCCGGAAUUAUUGGGCGUAAAGGGCUUGUAGGCGGCUUGUUGCGCCUGCUGUGAAAACGCGGGGCUUAACUUCGCGCGUGCAGUGGGUACGGGCAGGAUUGAGUGUGGUAGGGGUGACUGGAAUUCCAGGUGUAGCGGUGGAAUGCGCAGAUAUCUGGAGGAACACCGAUGGCGAAGGCAGGUCACUGGGCCAUUACUGACGCUGAGGAGCGAAAGCAUGGGUAGCGAACAGG